GUGGCUGCAGAGCACAUUGGAUUCCCGAUGACGCUGACGGCUGCUAAUAUCGUUGUGCCAUCGAUCGCAGACUUUCGUAAGGUCCUGGAAUCCAUCGAUUGCAAGCACUGGCAAAUCAAGCCACCUUAUGACUUGGAGCACCUGUACAGAAAUAGGAAGGACUUGUGCUCCCUAAAUGUACAAGUCUUUCGCAAUGGUAGGGGUGUCAUCAUCCAGCCGACCUCAAAGGGGCCUGGAAGCACGCAUGGCAGCCUCAUCUGAAUGGACUGUGCUCUUCCUGGGAGCUUCAAGGGCAGAAAACUGCCUAAUGGCUGGUUGCUAGGUGACUCUCCCUAUGCCUGAGAGCCAUGGGUGCUCACCCUCCGGUCCGUGGCUGGCCCAGCUGAGCAGCAGUGCAGC